CUCAGUAGUAUUACAUUCUCUCAAUCCCCAGAGUGGCUACAAUCUUCUGCGUUUAUCAACAAAAAAAAAAUGGUGAUUCCUCUCAUGAGGACAAUCCGAUCUCCGUCAAGCCCACAAGCUUGCAAGAGCGACUGAAAGUCAGGAUAUCUCCUGAAUCUUUCUCUCUUAGGGUUCCCCCAUGUGUGGGCGUAAAUCUCUCCGACCGUGAUCACCGAAGUUGGUUGAACUGUCAUCGGCGAAAACUGGUUUUACUGCAGAAAGUUUGGGGAUCAGAGAACUGGAUCGAAUCGUGGUAGGAAUUUGUGGUGAGUACGUAGUGUUCAGAAUUCCUUCUUGAUUCGUAGGGGAAUACAGAAGAUCUUUGUCUUCUUUCACCAACAUAAUUGGAUCAUCUUGUUAGAGGCCAUAAGUGACCAACCAUGCUACAAUCGACAGCUUCUGAAGAAUGUCUCUAGAUAAUUGGAUCAUGAGGAAAUAAUUUACAAUCUGGAGGCUAUGGGAGGACAGGAUCUGCCUGCAAAUACUGCAACUGAGGAACCAUAUCAACUGUGGGCUAAAAUCUUAAAGGGGGUUAUAUUUUCCGAAGACUGGCUUUUACGAGGAUAAAAAAGGAAUAGGCGGUCUUGGGUUUAGUCUAGCAUUAUUGAAGGAAGAAAAGUGCUAUACAAGGUGAGAGCGUAUGUUAUUGUAGUGAUGUCUAUUGUAAAAAGUGUGUGAAACUUGGCUAGCUAGAAGCACUAGAACGAACACAUAUUCCUUCUGUGUUCCUUCUUUGUGAUUGGUCAAAAUGUGCAUGGUUUGGUCACUCUUUGUGAUGUCUAUUGUAAAAAGUCUGUGAAACUUGGCUAGCUAGAAGCACUAGAACGAACACAUAUUCCUUCUCUGUGUUCCUUCUUUGUGAUUGGACAAAAUGUGCAUGGUUUGGUCGCUCUUUAUCUUUUAUUUGUUCCAUUGUGUGUGUAUAUAUAUAUAUAUAUAUCAGAACUUUUGAGAGCUGGCUUUAUAUGUGUUUCAUUAAACUAAAACUGGAUGAUGGGCAAAAAGGGCUAGAUGGCAGAUCCUAUGACUUCAUGGCAAACAUGGAAACAAAUAUUUGCUAUUUAAUCUUCAGCAAGCAGGGAUACGUUUAAUGGGCGGAGUAACCUAUGUUCUGUUCAUAAUAUUUCUGCUAAACAUGAUCAGAGAAUCACUUGGAUAGCUGAACUAGCUGUUCUUAGAUUCAACAGAAUCACUUGGAUAAAAUCUAUCCUAAAGGAAAUGAACUGAAAAUCCAACACUGUUUCUUAGAUUCAAAGGAUCUUGCUUUUGACUAGCUGAACUCUCUAUGUUGAUUGAUUCCUACAAUUGAUGUUGCCGGAUGCAACAUGUGCAGUGCUUCCUAGCUAAUCAUUAAUUAUUAUUCUUAGUAAAGAUGAAUGGAACAUCUUGAUUUAUUGUCACUUGUGAAAUAUGCAGUAGAAAUUGCUCAAUAGUCUCAAUCUGUGUGUGUGAUAAGAUUGAAGAUAAUAUACCCAUAAAGACUUAUUCAAGAAGGAAGCGUUAAAAGAUAAAUUAGGAUAGAUUUCAUUAUUAUUUGAUUCAGCAUUUUAUUUAGCUUUCUAUUUAGAUAUUUCCCUAGAUUUUAUUUAUCUAUUUAGUUGUUUAGAUUUUAUUUUAUCAUUCAUUAUUUUAGAUAUUUAGAUUUUAUCUAGUAAUUUAGA